UGGGGAAUAUUGCACAAUGGGCGCAAGCCUGAUGCAGCAACGCCGCGUGAGGGAUGACGGCCUUCGGGUUGUAAAACCUCUUUUAGCAGGGAAGAAGCGAAAGUGACGGUACCUGCAGAAAAAGCACCGGCUAACUACGUGCCAGCAGCCGCGGUAAUACGUAGGGUGCAAGCGUUGUCCGGAAUUAUUGGGCGUAAAGAGCUCGUAGACGGUCUGUCGCGUCUGCUGUGAAAUCCCCGAGGCUCAACCUCGGGCCUGCAGUGGGUACGGGCAGACUAGAGUGCGGUAGGGGAGAAUGGAACUCCUGGUGUAGCGGUGGAAUGCGCAGAUAUCAGGAAGAACACCGAUGGCGAAGGCAGUUCUCUGGGCCGUAACUGACGCUGAGGAGCGAAAGCGUGGGGAGCGAACAGGAUUAGAUACCCUGGUAGUCCACGCCGUAAACGUUGGGCGCUAGAUGUGGGGACCAUUCCACGGUUUCCGUGUCGCAGCUAACGCAUUAAGCGCCCCGCCUGGGGAGUACGGCCGCAAGGCUAAAACUCAAAUGAAUUGACGGGGUCAUAGCUGUUUCCU
rnacentral:rRNA from 1 species